AGGGCAUGGAUGUUCAGUCCAUACUUCUCAACUUAAAAAAGUUGUAUGGAGAACAAAACCAAACUACUAGAUAUAAGAUAUCUAAGCAAUUAUCCUAUAGCAAUAUGAUAAGGAAGAAGGGGAAGUCUGUUUACAAAUAAAGUACUUAUUUUCUAUGCAGUGAGGAAGGCCACUGGAAAAGGGAUUGUAAGAAUUUUCUUAUAAUUGUAAAGCCU
rnacentral:lncRNA from 1 species